GCAGAGUAGGAUUUUGUGCGUAAAGUGCCAGGUGAACAGGGAGUUGUCACCCGGACGAAGAAGCGAAUCAAUGCUUCGCGGUACGAGAUCCGCAUCCCGCUGC
rnacentral:ncRNA from 1 species